GGUCCUACAAUAUUUUUGUCCAGCAAAUGUCUUUUUUAAACUAGAAUUUUACAAAAACGAUCUUUUUACAGGCUAUAUACAAUUGUAAAAACUUUGAAAGCAACUUUCAAGUCAGAAAAUUUCUAAACUACGUAAUUUUUUUUCUGCGUCCUACUCGCGGUACAGUAUUAGCCAUUAUUAAUAUGAAGCCAUUAUUAAUAUGAAUCCCCAUUAUAUAAAUAUUUCAAAACUCUAUAAAAUAACUAUUCUCACACAAAAGGUUUGUUGUAUGUACAUAUAUACAAUUGAUGGCAUGUAUUUAACGCUCCACUGUUUUUUAUAGUCCGUACUGUUCUUUUUCUGCCUUGUUAGAGGUCUGGACGAAAAACAGUAAAACACCGCUCGAAUUCAUCCCCAACUCGUGAAAGUAUUUGUCCGAUUUCUUUACAAAUGUUUGCAUUUUCUUCUGUCAAUCCUGUUGCUUUCGAGCUCUUUUUUUCAUCGUCUGAUAGUGUGGAUUUUCCCGUUGACUUCUGAUCGUCUUUUGAGCUCAUUUUUAGCACUUGAAAU